rnacentral:rRNA from 1 species
GGGGGGCCAACUGUCAAGUCGAGCGAGCUUGCCUAGAUGAUUUUAGUGCUUGCACUAAAUGAAACUAGAUACAGGCGAGUGGCGGACGGGUGAGUAACACGUGGGUAACCUGCCCAAGAGACUGGGAUAACACCUGGAAACAGAUGCUAAUACCGGAUAACAACACUAGACGCAUGUCUAGAGUUUGAAAGAUGGUUCUGCUAUCACUCUUGGAUGGACCUGCGGUGCAUUAGCUAGUUGGUAAGGUAACGGCUUACCAAGGCAAUGAUGCAUAGCCGAGUUGAGAGACUGAUCGGCCACAUUGGGACUGAGACACGGCCCAAACUCCUACGGGAGGCAGCAGUAGGGAAUCUUCCACAAUGGACGAAAGUCUGAUGGAGCAACGCCGCGUGAGUGAAGAAGGGUUUCGGCUCGUAAAGCUCUGUUGGUAGUGAAGAAAGAUAGAGGUAGUAACUGGCCUUUAUUUGACGGUAAUUACUUAGAAAGUCACGGCUAACUACGUGCCAGCAGCCGCGGUAAUACGUAGGUGGCAAGCGUUGUCCGGAUUUAUUGGGCGUAAAGCGAGUGCAGGCGGUUCAAUAAGUCUGAUGUGAAAGCCUUCGGCUCAACCGGAGAAUUGCAUCAGAAACUGUUGAACUUGAGUGCAGAAGAGGAGAGUGGAACUCCAUGUGUAGCGGUGGAAUGCGUAGAUAUAUGGAAGAACACCAGUGGCGAAGGCGGCUCUCUGGUCUGCAACUGACGCUGAGGCUC